UAUAUGAUCAAUGACAUAUGAGUAUAUUUACAUUCCCCAUGUGUAUUUGAUCAUAUCUA
rnacentral:pre_miRNA from 1 species